rnacentral:lncRNA from 1 species
UGGGAAGUUGCAUUUCACAAGCGUCUCACGACACUGCUUCUGUUGUGCAUGCCACUAAAACCAGGGCACAGGCCCUGCGAGCUUUACUUAGAGAUCACGUCAAGAAUGGGAGAGUCACGAAGCAUUUGCAAGGCCCAAAGACAUUGGGGAAGCGAAGACAAGAACAGAACUGGACUGCGAAGGAAUUCAGCCGCAGCAUGGGGAAGCGACUUGGGGAAGUGACAGUGUUGUCCGCUUUUCUGCCAGGAAGGCAGGGGAGGAGACUGCUCUGUGCAACCUGAACAGAACUGGAUGGGAUUGCAAUUACUC